rnacentral:rRNA from 1 species
UACGGGGGGGGCAAGCGUUGUUCGGAAUUACUGGGCGUAAAGGGCUCGUAGGCGGCCAACUAAGUCAGACGUGAAAUCCCUCGGCUUAACCGGGGAACUGCAUCUGAUACUGGAUGGCUUGAGUUCGGGAGAGGGAUGCGGAAUUCCAGGUGUAGCGGUGAAAUGCGUAGAUAUCUGGAGGAACACCGGUGGCGAAGGCGGCAUCCUGGACCGACACUGACACUGAGGAACGAAAGCCAGGGGAGCAAACGGG